AGAAGAACUUCAGCACAAAUUUGGUGACCUUCAGAAAAUAUGUGUAGGAAAUAUCCUGGAGAUAAGGGAGCAGCUUUCGGCCACUGUGGGUGAUAUUUGGGGAAAAUUUGGUAAGAUUCUCUGACAAAUCUUUACUCAUCUCUUUUAGAGUAUCUAUAAGAGUCCCCACUCUUUCAUCCACAUAACCACCAUCAGCUCCCUUCCAAAUGUACAUUCUUCUUUCCCCAGGUUUUGGAUAUAAACGUCUCUCUUAUUCACUUUUCUCCAUAGUUUUUCCUCAUGUUCCA